CUACGGGUUGCUGCAGUGGGGAAUAUUGGACAAUGGGGGAAACCCUGAUCCAGCAAUGCCGCGUGUGUGAAGAAGGCCUGCGGGUUGUAAAGCACUUUCGGUUGGGAGGACUGCUUCUAGCACUAAUAUUGUUGGAAGUUGACGUUACCUUCAGAAGAAGCACCGGCUAACUCCGUGCCAGCAGCCGCGGUAGUGACGGAGGGUGCAAGCGUUAAUCGGAAUUACUGGGCGUAAAGCGCGCGUAGGCGGCUAGAUCAGUCGGGUGUGAAAGCCCCGGGCUUAACCUGGGAACUGCAUCCGAUACUGUCUAGCUUGAGCACAGGAGAGGAGAGUGGAAUUCCACAUGUGGCGGUGAAAGGCGUAGAUAUGUGGAGGAACACCAAUGGCGAAGGCAGCUCUCUGGCCUGAUACUGACGCUGAGGUGCGAAAGCGUGGGGAGCAAACAGGAUUAGAUACCCCUGUAGUC
rnacentral:rRNA from 1 species